ACCACCAAGUCUGAAGUGAUGGGUCUGGGGACGCAGCUGAGGGCCGGCGAGCUCAAGGCGGAGGAUCAGAGGGAGCACCUGACCGCGGUCACCUCUGACAUGAGAGAAGUGGAGUCCAGAGUGGAGACCAGCGAGAGGCAGUCACAGCAGCACCAGAAAAAGAUCACCCAGCUGGGAAUGAAGAUGGAGGUUGCGCAGAUGCUGCUGCAGGCCAGCAAGAAACAGGUGGACAGACUCCAGGAGGAAAACACAGUCCAAGCUUCUGAGCUCCGGGACCUUGCCAUGAGGUCAAAUUCCACUGAAGGCCUAGUUGAGGAACAGCAGACUGCUUUGGGAACACUGGAAUAUGAAACACAGACACUGAAGACAGAAAAUGCAGGUAGGCUGAAGUGAGGGUGAAAACACUGCCUAUGGUCUGUUCCAACUGAAAAAGGGUUUUGUUGUUGAUACUGGGGAUUAUUUCUGUAUUAACACUAUGAUUACUAAUAGAUAGAUAGAUAGAUAGAUAGAUAGAAAGAUAGAUAAAAAGAUAGAUAGAAAGAUAGAUACGCACAUGGCCAACUGAAAGAGUAGCAAGAAGCAGGUGGACAGACUUCAGGAGGAAAACACAGGUACUAUUUC
rnacentral:lncRNA from 1 species